rnacentral:lncRNA from 1 species
CACCAUCAACAGCUGGCCAUUUGGUCUAGUGGUAUGAUUCUCGCAGUCCCGAGUUCGAUUCUCGGAAUGCCCCCUGUUUUUUGUAACUGCUUAUAUAACAUGAAAUUCUGACAGUAAUUAUUCAAGGACAAGGUAGGGUCCUUUAUAAAUUUUUUGCUAGACAAUAACCUUUAAAUUCAUGUUCUGGAAACUGCAGUAAGCUCAUCAAGUAUUUAUAAUUCAAACUGUCAAGACAGACAGCCUAGAGCACUUCUUUAUAUAUACAAUGCUCAACUUUCAGAACUUUUAAAUUUCCUGUUCAAAAUGCACUCUUUGUAAUUCAACUAAGGCUUUCAGCCAAAUUUCAUUUAUGAUAUCUCAACAAGCAAUAUAAGAUUCUUCCUCAUCUCAAAAAACACCACGCAAAGUCACCUGGAUCUAAAAGAUACAAAAUUUAACAAAAGAUAAACUCAACAAUCUAAAAGAAUAAUAAAACUUAACAACAAAACAUCAUUCCGGCAAGAAAGUUAAUUUGUGCUCACCUGCCUUUUUUUUGAAAGUUCAUAUUCCAACAUAGAACUCCCAAUCGACCACUAAGAUACGGAGGAACUGAUUAGCACAAGAUGCAUCCCAACUAUUACAAGUUAAAGCCUUGAGAGAAAACAUUUUUGCAUUUUUUUUCAAUUUUAGAGAGCGAAAAAAAAAGAAAUAAAAGAAAGAGAGAGAGGUGAUAAAACAGCAAAUGUAUGUCAUUCCAGUUCUGCCUUUGUAUUCAAAUAGAGAAAGUAGGCAAAAUUGAGCAAGUGACAAUCAGCAAAUAUACCUGUCCUUCAGCAAAGACUCAUAAACAUGGUUCAUUUUUAAGGAACAUGGAGGUCAACAAUGAUAGCCGAAAUUAUUGAUCAAUGACAGAAAAGUGUAACCAAAACUCAAGGAUUGCUCUAGUAUGCUGUCUGUUUGACGUAAGAGCUCACAGAGUUUCCUGCAGCGGAUUAAUAACCCCAGUUGAUGAAUCAUUCCAUUCAUUUUUACCUAAGCAAUGAAGCAUGAAUCACAAGGUUCAUGUUGUUUUUUGAGCCAACUUACUUAUAACAAGCUGCGGAAUAAAAUGCAAACAAGAAUGCACUAGAUUAAUAAAGAAGGCAUCUGAUAUACUCUAGAAUCAGAGAAACCAAUAGCAAAACCAAUGAUUUCCUCUUAAUCAUUCCCAAAGUUAGUGUUUACACUUUAAUGACUUCAACUCAAUAUGACGAGUUAAACCAUCUAAUGUCAGAAAUCUUAUUUCAUCACCCAAUUACAGUCCUCUGUGACAUGUCAGAACUCAGACAUCCGAAGAACUCAUUAUGAUAAGAUAUAAUUUCUAAUAAAAUGCACCAGGCUGAUAGCACUAUACGAAUCAGAGAAAGUGAACAUUGAGGAAAGGCUGCAAAAAACAGAAGAGUUUCAUAUUUCUCUGUUUAUCUAGUGAUAAAUGAUAAUAUCCUAAUGAGAGUAAACAGUUCCUCAAAAAAUCUUCCAAUUAGCAAAUGCAGAUGAAAACCAGAAAUGAGGAGGGAUUUUAUAUUUGCAAGGAAUGAUAUGAUAUAUAACCAGGUUAGUGCUGACACAGAGAACAACACAUGAAUCAAAAUGACAUUCUUCAACAACUGGGCAUUUGGUCUAGUGGUAUGAUUCUCGCUUUGGGUGCGAGAGGUCCCGAGUUCGAUUCUCGGAAUGCCCCAUUUUAUUAAAACAACAAUAUCCUUAAGAUCUGACAAAUCGAAAAGCUUCUGUUGUUUGUACUUAUUUAAAUAAAAAAUUUACUUUACAUAGGACUUUCCCUUAUGAAAAUCCUAUGUAAAGAAUACCUACUCAAUGCCCUACUUAAUGAAUUAAACUUUUACAGGUACAGAAGAAGCAUAAAUGUGGCAGGUUUGAGCAACAUGUAACUUUACAUAUGGCUGGCACCUAGCACCUAGAGGUGCUUAGUGAAAUUACCUGACUAGAUAGUAUUACAGAUAUGAUCAGAAAUCAACUAUGAUAUUAGAAUUUAAAAAACAAAUAAAUGGGGGGGGGGGGGGGGGGGGGGGGGGGGAAUCUCCCCUUUUUUUUUUUUUUUUUUUUUUUUUUUUUNNNNNNNNNNNNNNNNNNNGGGGGGGGGGAAUAGUGGAAUCUACCUAUCCUUUGAUUUAUUAUUACUUUUUUUUUUUGGAAUUCAAAUGCAAAGUCAGAGUAUAUCUGAUGUAACUUAUGUAAAGAUAUUUUUAUAAUUCAGAAACAGUUAAUCAUAUAAUUAGCAUAUAUUAGUUGACGUCCUUUGUCUCUGUUCCCAUAGUUUUCACCCACUUCAUUGACCUCCAGGCUACACUUUUGGUGCAAGUUAAGAGCACCAGUUAAUAGUUAAAGCUAAGAAACAACAACCAAUUUGUUAAGAGCACUUUGACAAAGUACACACCCAAAGACUCAAAUUAGUAAACCUAUGAAUGUCAUUAACUUGAAUCAUAUUUAAUCAGUUAUGAAUCACAUACACAAGAGAAAGGAU